rnacentral:rRNA from 1 species
UAACAAGGAUUCCCUUAGUAACUGCGAGUGAACCGGGAUAAGCUCAAAUUUAAAAUCUGGCGGUUCUGCCGUCCGAGUUGUAAUCUGGAGAAGCGUUUUCCGCGUCGGACCGUGUACAAGUCUCUUGGAAUAGAGCGUCAUAGAGGGUGAGAAUCCCGUCCAUGACACGGACUCCCGAUGCUUUGUGAUACGCUCUCAAAGAGUCGAGUUGUUUGGGAAUGCAGCUCAAAAUGGGUGGUAAAUUCCAUCUAAAGCUAAAUAUUGGCGAGAGACCGAUAGCGAACAAGUACCGUGAGGGAAAGAUGAAAAGCACUUUGGAAAGAGAGUUAAACAGUACGUGAAAUUGUUGAAAGGGAAACGCUUGAAGUCAGUCGCGUCGUACGGAGCUCAGCCUUGCUUCUGCUUGGUGUAUUCUCCGUGUCGAUGGGUCAACAUCAAUUUUGACCGGUGGAAAAGGGCCUAGGGAAUGUAGCGUUGUUUCGGUGACGUGUUAUAGCCUUAGGUCGUAUGCAUCGGUUGGGAUUGAGGACCGCAGCACGCCCUUGUGGCCGGGGGUUCGCCCUACGUUCGUGCUUAGGAUGUUGGCAAAAUGGCUUUAAGCGACCCGUCUUGAAACACGGACCAAGGAGUCUAACAUGCCUGCGAGUGUUCGGGUGGAAAACCCUUGCGCGUAAUGAAAGUGAAAGUUGGGAUCCUUCGUAAGGGGGUGCACCGACGCCCGGCCCUGAAGUUCUCUGACGGUGCUGCGGUAGAGCAUGUAUGUUGGGACCCGAAAGAUGGUGAACUAUGCCUGAAUAGGGUGAAGCCAGAGGAAACUCUGGUGGAGGCUCGUAGCGAUUCUGACGUGCAAAUCGAUCGUCAAAUUUGGG